rnacentral:rRNA from 1 species
CCUACGGGAGGCAGCAGUGAGGAAUAUUGGACAAUGGAGGCAACUCUNAUCCAGCCAUGCCGCGUGCAGGAAGACUGCCCUAUGGGUUGUAAACUGCUUUUAUAUAGGAAGAAACCUUGGUACGUGUACUAAGCUGACGGUACUAUAAGAAUAAGGAUCGGCUAACUCCGUGCCAGCAGCCGCGGUAAUACGGAGGAUCCAAGCGUUAUCCGGAAUCAUUGGGUUUAAAGGGUCCGUAGGUGGAUAAUUAAGUCAGAGGUGAAAUCUUGCAGCUCAACUGUAAAAUUGCCUUUGAUACUGGUUAUCUUGAGUUAUUAUGAAGUAGUUAGAAUAUGUAGUGUAGCGGUGAAAUGCAUAGAUAUUACAUAGAAUACCAAUUGCGAAGGCAGAUUACUAAUAAUCAACUGACACUGAUGGACGAAAGCGUGGGUAGCGAACAGGAUUAGAUACCCUGGUAGUCCACGCCGUAAACGAUGGUUACUAGCUGUUUGGGCUUUAUGUCUGAGUGGCUAAGCGAAAGUGAUAAGUAACCCACCUGGGGAGUACGUUCGCAAGAAUGAAACUCAAAGGAAUUGACGG